rnacentral:rRNA from 1 species
UACGUAGGGGGCAAGCGUUGUCCGGAAUCAUUGGGCGUAAAGAGCGUGUAGGCGGCUCGGUAAGUCCGCUGUGAAAGUCCAGGGCUCAACCCUGGAAUGCCGGUGGAAACUGUCGAGCUAGAGUCCGGAAGAGGCGAGUGGAAUUCCUGGUGUAGCGGUGAAAUGCGCAGAUAUCAGGAGGAACACCAAUGGCGAAGGCAGCUCGCUGGGACGGUACUGACGCUGAGACGACGAAAGCGUGGGGAGCAAAACAGG